UCACUCAUGUGUCCUUGGGCCUUGCUUUU
rnacentral:piRNA from 1 species